rnacentral:lncRNA from 1 species
UUUUUUUUAUCUAUAUUAUUCAUUCUCGUCAAAACUCGAUCGGUUUCUUUCUUUUAGUAAUAUACGUGUAUAUAUGCUUAAGCUUAAUCUGCUAAUGUCAAACACUAAGACGAAAAUGUUAGCUUUUCCAACGCAAAAACCUUUAUUUUGGGCCGGCUGAUGGUUACUUGUACGGUUGUGCAUCUUCAUCAGACGUGCAUAGUUUGAACUGUACAUCUAGAAACAGUGCAUCAGACUUAGCGUUGAUUUUGUCAAAGGAUUACUGCUAGUAUUUUGAAGUGGUUUCUUCAGCCUCAAUGCUCCCAAUGCUCUGACCUUUGUAUUAUUGGAGCAGGAAUUUUAGUUCCUAGCACAUGCCUGGUGCACUUUCACCGGACGUUUAGGUUGCAGAAUCCAAACAUUUCACGAUACUGCCGGCCACGUUUGUGUUCUGUUUCAAAGACUCAUCUGUACUGUACGUCUUCUCCCUGCAGUCUGGCUGCUGCAAGCCCCCCACCAGCUGCGGCUACACAUACU